rnacentral:lncRNA from 1 species
GCCUGUGCUACGUCAGGCCCCAAAGCUCUAUCUCUUAAUCUUCGUUCACCAUCGCAUGUGCUACGUCACUUUGUUCACCAAAUAGGAUGACUACAGCAGUAAGCUCCGCAAAUAGCAUUAUUCCAGCACAAAAUAGAAAGUGAGCUCAACUUCCACUUACUUAUGCUUCCAAUUAUUUGUUAAUUGGCUUAACUUAAGUAAUUACAUGUAGGCUGCCUUUGUUUACUUUUAUAUGAUUAGGGAAUAAGAUUAUAUGAUAUAAGAUUAAGAGAGAUUGGAGUUCUGCACUAUGUUGUAUUUCAAAAAAAUUAGUUAAAAAGAAAUGUGAAGUUACUCAUAUGUAACUUUUUCUGCAAACGUAAAUUAGAAAACUUAAUUUUCUUUUACAUUAGAUAAAAAUUAUUUUAAAGUAAUCCUCGGCAACCCUUAAUUUCCUGACUAAUGAUUGUCAAUUUGUCGUGUUUCCAUCAUAUGGACAAUUGGAUAAUUGAAUUAAGUCCCAGCAAGAUUAGUACAUGAUUGAAUUAUUGAAAAUGUUGAAAGAAAAAUGGGAUUUGGUACUUCUGAUAUUUGAGCAAGCAGAAACUGAAGAAAGCAGCAAGGCAAAUUCAUUUAGUCUGUCUGAUCAGACAGCUCUUCGAGAAAUCAAAAUUUUGAAUCUUCAAUGACGGAAGGUUGCUUCUAUUCCCCCCCCCCCCCCCCCCCUCUCUGUGCGGAAUUACAUCCAUUAGUACUUGAGUUUCUAAUGAGUGUAUAUAGACGAUGGUAAGGAAGUUAAAAACAAGUGAUAAUGCAUGCAUAUAAAUUUCCUACGUCAUCGAAACCCUGAAUUUUACAAUUCUUCAAAGUUGUCCAUGGUUACUUUUAAGAGCUAAUCUUUGCUUGAUGCAAAUAUACCAAGUCUUGUUAUAUCAUCGAGCUGUUUAUCGUGUGUUGUAGAUUUUAUUUUUGCAAGUGUACGGAUCGUAACAAGUAGUAAAUAGUUCAGAUUGUCGAUCCCACGAGGACUACAUUCUAGCACUUAAUUCAAAUUUUCUUUAACCACUAUUUGAUGAGAUAAAAACUCGUAAAAUUUGAGAUUUAAAUAAAAAUACGAGAAAAUAAGUGAAUGCACGAUUAGUUGGAAAAUCAAAUAAUGAAUGGACGUUAGGCAGAAUAAUUUCACAUAUUGGUCACCUUUACAUCUUAAAUCAAAAUUCACAUCUAAUGUAGUGUUAGGUCGAAUUCUUCUAUUGUAUUCAAUUUACCCUUCUCGAGUUCUCAUUGAGUCUAUUUAACUAAUUAAAUUACAUAUCUCUAUGCAAAUCCAACUUAGUUAAACGAGUUCUUUGUCCUAGGAAUUCAAUUAUGAUCACAAUAAUUGGUAUAUGUAUCUCUACUCGUUAUACCAAUUUACCGAAUUUUACUAUAUGGCCUAAAUCUUAAACCCAUAUUUUUAUUCAUAAAGGAUUUACAAAAUUCAUCAAAUUAGUGAUCUAAUAAUUUAAUGCAUCCAAUCCAUAGCAAAAUCAACACAUCUUAAUAAAAAAAUAUAAAGGAUCUCAACUGGUUUCAUUAUUCACCAUAACAAUGAUUUAGCUAGUCAUAAUGUAAAAAAAGAAAAUUCAUAAAUUGUCAUAGAAUACAUCAUCAGAUUUUGUAUUAAAGGUGUAGAAGAAAAAAUAGAUCUUGCCCCAAGAAUUUCUUCCUUUUCCAAUCGAUGCUUUAUACCUUGAAUUUCUUGAUGUUUUCUCCCUUGAAUUUCUCCUUCGGUUCUCCAAUUGUGUUCUAUUGUCUCUCAAUGUGUGAAUACUCCUCAAUUCUCUUUUCUAGGGUUGUAUUUAUGACUUAUUCAAGCCUUAGAAGAGUUUUAUUGAGUUGGGCUUUUAAAAAGAUGAAUUUCACUUCAAAACCCUAUUUGACAGCAGUGAGGUGCUUAGACACUGCAAUUGGGCCCCUGAGCAUUGAAUUUCAAAGAAAAAUCAGAAACAUAGUGCUUGGGUGUUGUCAUCAGCUUUGAUUGCACUACACAACAUUCAAUCUUUUUGCCAUAACAAUUUUUUUGAUAUCCGAUUGAGGCGAUUCAAGAUGCGUUGAAAAUCUAACUCAAAAGGCUACAACUUUUCUUUAGAUACCAUUUUCAAAUUCAAUCAUUUACCAUGUCAAAAAUGGGUAUAAAUAUGAGUAUGAAAACUGUGCAUAUAUUUUUUCGGUUGAAACUUGAUGUGUGAUCAUACUUUGAUUAUAUUUCAUCAUUUUGAUGUCUUUCUUUAUCCAAUCGACUCCGAGCACUCUUAAAUCUUCAUUGUGAGGUCUAACAUAACUUUUGAGUAUUUACAUUUUGGCCCCCCAAACUUUGGAUCUUACUCUUCUUUCGAGUUUCUUGUACCAUCAUUGAAUUUUACCUAUUUAACAUCAAAUGCAACAAUUUAGACCAUAAUUCAUCCAAGAAGUAACUAAAUAUCAUCGUUUUAAGGUCUUGAAUAAGUGUAUAAAAUACACGUAUCAAAUACCCCAAAACUUAAACAUUUGUUUGUCCUCAAAUAAAGCUAUCAUAUAAAUAACUAAGUACACACAAGCAUGCAAAAUAUAAUUAGUUCGACAAUCAAAGCUUUUUACCUCAGAAUUCGAGAUUUUGAUGUUUAUUCUACAAACACGCUUCAUGUCACAAUACAAAACAAAUAUCUACUCUUCCAAUGCAAACCCAAUGUGUGUGUGUGAAGAAUUAAGUAAUCCAUCAUGACUACACAAGUUGUUUCAACUCCCAGUCCUUUACAGUUAUAUAUCCUUACAUUUCUCGUGUGAUUCACACACCCCGAAAUUUAUUCUUUUUUUUUAUCAUUCCUAGUGUUUAAUAUAAGGUUGAAUAUUUCAUUGCUAUCCUCAUCCUUAGCUUCAUCUUUGAUUGCCUUCUAAAUUAUCCCUGUAGCGAGUUUUAGGCUGAUGACUCCAAAGUCAGAUGACUUUAAGGCACCAUGUUUUAAGAUACCCUUACAGGUUUAAUUACUCGAGUCAUGAAGACUUCAAAGAAAAGUUUUUAGAUUUCAAAUGUAUAUGCAUUGAUUAGUGCGAUGCCCCUAUCACAUACUUAUUCAAACAAAUUGACAUUCAACUUAAGACUUUCGCCUUGUUUUAUCAUGUUAGUCUAAGACAGUCCACACAUAAGUUUUCGCCAUAGAAUCCAAAUUCACAUUUGUAUAUUCCUACAACUGUAAAGUCACCCCCAAACUAUACUAACUUUGGUCUAAGGAUAAAUAAUUUACUAUAGUUUAGAUAAAGCAUCUAUGUCUAAUUAAAUCAACACAUUUAACAAAUGAAUCAACUCGUUUCAUCAUAACGUCAAACUCAAUUCUAGUGCACGUAUAGCAUCAAUUUUUGUAAGAUUAGGUUUCAGUCAAUCUAGCACGCAUCAUAUCCACAGUUCAUAAAUCAACAGCAAAUCUCAAAGGAAAUCAUCAUUGUUAGCCAUAUUGUCCAACUCACACAAAAAUUUAGGUAAGCAAUUAAUAAUGUACCCUCCAAACUUAAUCUAAACACUGUCCUCAAUAUGAAAUUUAAAGGAAAAUGAGGAGGUUUCCUUGAAAUGUCAGGAUUGCCUAUAAUGUUGUGGUGCCUUGGUGUUGAAUUUGAUCAACUUUUCUUCCAUAUUCUCCACCAAACUUGAGAUUUAUCCCGGGUUCUCCUUAUCAAUAGUGGUUUAAGUGUUUUGCGAUGUUACGUCAUUGAAAAAUCAAAUUUGAAAUAUUAGAUGCAUGGAACAAGGUUUACUUAGCUCAAAUAUCUAAUAACUAACUUAGUUACUUAAUGACCUAAGGGUAAAAGGGAUAUGGACGAUGACUCCUAAAUAGACUAAUAAAUAAAUUAAAAUAUCUUAUAACUUGAAAAUAAAAUAAAAAAAGAAGAAAGCUUGAGUUGCCUCCCAAUAAGUGCUUCUUUAAAGUCAUUAGCUUGACUUUUGCAUAAGUGAUUCAUGGCAUUUUGAAUAUGGUUGUGAAGGUUCUGCUUAGCUUGCUUAAUUUGAUUUUAGUCCAUAUUUCACACAUCCUCCAAAAUUGUGCUUUGUUAUUUUAAAUAUGAUAUGACUUGCUUGAAUUGCUCAAUUUGAACUCAACUAAGAAUGCUUCAAUUUUUUCAUCAACUUUAAUCACAAAAUCAAUGAAGUUGGAGGUUUGCAUGCUAAUCACAUCUUCUUUGAAUGCCACUAAUUCAUUUGGAUCCUUCGUGAUUAAUUUAUUCGUUUCUACAUGUUCUUCUUCUUUAGUUGGUUCCUCAGGUUAAGUAAUGAAGAGAUAUUCCGUUGGCAUGCUACUUGGCUUUUCCGAAAUUAUUUGAUCUUCAAUUCUUUCAUCUUUGUCCAUGAUGAUGUCUCCCAUAAUCAUUUCACUGUAAUCAAAUUAUUCUUCAUAUGGAUAAUCAAAGAUAUAUUUCCUCACUUCCAUUGGAGUUGCCAAUAACAAGCAAUCUUUAGCAUAAUGAAUUGCACCACAAUAUUCACAAGUCGGUCUAAUCUCUCCAUAAACAAUAGAUUUGAUAUUUAAUCCUUUAAGGAAGCCAUCCUUAUCAAAUUCAAUAGGCUGAUUGUAUCCCUACUUUUUAAGUUCUUGUCUAAAGAGAACUUCUCCAAAGAGCAUUUCAUAUUCAUUUAAGUCGGGAUCAAUUAUUGUGAAUUUUUUUGACCUCUUGUUUCUUUUUAUUCGUUGUCAAAGGAGGAAGGAAAAAUAAAUAGUUCAAUUGAAAAAAUUAAGAAAGACAAAAAAAUCAAAUAAAAGCAAGAAAUAAUUAAAACCAAUAUUAAAUAAAAAUAGUCUCAUGCAACAACGCCAAAAACUUGUUGUCAAUUUUGUAUCCCGCAAGCAUACGGAUCGUAACAAGUAAUCGUUCCCACAAGGACUACUAUUUAACAAUUGGUUCAAUUAUUCCUAACUUUAAUUUGAUCGAAAACAAACAAAGAAUUAGAUGUUUUGAUUUUUGAUACAACUGUUUGAAAAUAUGUGUGGAUGCACACAAAGAGUGAUUUAGAACUUAAAUAGUGAACAAAUAUUAGGGUAGAAUAAUUUCACCAAUUGGUCACAUUUACAUCUUAAAUUAAGAUUCACAUCUAAUGUAGUCUUUGGUCGAAUUCUCCUAUUAUAUUCAUUUUACCCCUCAUGAGUUCUUAUUGAACUUAUUUAACUAAUUAAAUUCCAUAUCUAUAAGCAAAUCCAACUUAGUUGGUUCUUUGUCCUAGGAAUUCAACCGCAAUAAUUAGUAUAGGUAUGUCUACUCAAUAUACCAAUUUAUCGAAUUUUACUAUAUCCCUAAUUUUAAAGGAUUCAUGAAAUCAUCAAAUUAGUGAUCAAAUAAUUUAAUGCAUUCAAUCCAUAGUAAAAUCAACACAUGGAAAAAUUAAAAAUCAAGAAUCUUAAUAAAAAAUAUAAAGGAUUCCAAUUGGUUACAUUAUUCACCCUAACAAUAGAUUUAGCUAGUCAUAAUGAAAAAGGAAAGAUCUACAAAUUGCCAUAGAAUAUAUCAUUGGAUUUUGUAUCAAAAGUAUAGAAAAAAAGUAGAUCUUGCACCAAGAAUUUCUUCAUCUUCAAUUGAUGCUUUACAUUCUGAAUUUCCCGAUGUUUUCUCCCUUGAAUUCAUCCUUUGAUUCUCCAAUUGUGUUUUUUUGCCUCUCAAUGUGUAUUCACGAUGUUUUCUCCCUUGAAUUCAUCCUUUGAUUCUCCGAUUGUGUUCUCUUACCUCUCAAUGUGUGAAUUCCCCCAUAAUUCCCUUCUCUGAAGUUGUAUUUAUGUCUUACUCCAACCUUAGAAGAGUUUUAAUUGAGUUGGGCUUUUAGAAAGAUUAAUUUCACUUGAAAAUCCUAUUCGACGGCAACGAGGCUCCUAGGCCCUGCGAUUGGGCGCCUGAGCGUUGACUUUCAGAAGAAAAAUCAAAAGCAUAGCGUCUGAGCGUUGUCGUCAGUUUCGAUUGCACUACAUAUUAUUCAAUCUUUUUAUCAUAAUUUUUUCUUUCAAUGUUCAAUUGAGGCAAUUCAAGAUGUGUUGGAAAGCUAACUCAAAGGGUUACAACUUUUUUUCAGGUAUCAUUUUCAAAUUCAAUCAUUUGCUAUGUCAAAAAUGGAUCUCAAUAUGAGUAUGAAAACUUUGCAUAAUUUUUUUGGUUGGAACUUAAUGUGUGAGUAUACUUUGAUUAUAUUUCAUCUUUUUGAUGUCUUUCUUUAUCCAAUUGACCCUAGGCACUCUUGAGUCUUCAUCGUGAGGUCCAACAGAACUUUUGAGUAUUUACAUUUUGGUCCCCGAAAUUUGGAUCUUACUAUCUUCCGAGUUUCUUGUACCAUUAUUGAAUUUUACCUAUUUAACACAAAAUGCAGCAAUUUGGCGCAUAGUUCAUCCGAAAAGUAACUAAAUAUCAUCAUUUUAAGGUCUUAAAUAAGUAUAUAAAAUACACUUAUCAUCGUGUAUCCUAUAUACAAUCUCAAUAAUGAGACAAAAAAAUCUAUCUUUAAAGAUAUGUUAAGAAAUUUAGACGUAAAUAUGGAAUUAACACGAUAACAAACAACAUGUCACUUUUAUUGUCUCUAGAUGACUAAGGUAAUUAAUCAAAUCAAUGUAGGUAUUUGGUUUAAAGAUUGAAAAUUUUAGUUAAGUACAAACUUGAAAAUGUUUUUGUGUUGAGUUCAACCAAAUAUUCGGACUUGAUUAGAUAAUCAAAUUAUAAAAAUAAAUAGACUAAAUUGUUCUACUCUUCUAGUAGAUAGUCGUAGUAUAUUUAAAAUCUCAACCAAUUUCCCAUGAAUGAGAAAUUGUGGUCAAAAUUUGGAAGAAAAAAAGAGGAAAAAUUAUAUAGCACUAUCGCUGGAACAGUAGGCUAGCACCAAGUGAGCUGCAAAGCUAUCACUCAAGCUACAGGCUAGCAAUAGACAGUAUUUCUAUCGAAAAUAUGGCACUGGCACUCGAGCGAGAGGCUAACGACAACAAGGGAUGCAUACCUUCUUGAAGGUUACUGAAUUUUAGGGCAUGUUUCUUCACACAACCUCUUCUCUUCUAUAAAUAGGACACUUUGGCCAUCCAUUAUGCAUCCAAUAUCAUUUUUCAUUAAGCAUUAAAUCAAAAAUGUCUUGCAAAACCUCUUCAAAAAUCAUUCCAAAAUAAAUUUCUUGUAGAGAGAAAAAAUUUCGUUCGAGUCCGAUGUUGCUUAUGGUUUUAAAUGCUUCCCCCACAAGUAAUAUCCGUUGUAUAUUGGGAGACAAGUGCUUUAAUCUAUUAACACCAUUGUGGGACAAUUUUAUCUUAAGGAAAAAGUGUUAAUCACUUGCCUUGAAUUUCGUUUCCUCACUUUCAUUUCAUUGCAAGGUUACAUAGAGUUUUAUUGCGCUCUUGAGAAUUAAAUUUAACAAGUAUUUUGUAUAUGGACAAACAACCAUUUCCCUACACAUCUUCCCAACAAUCUUAAGACAAAUAUUUUGUGAUUUUUUGUUGAAAAAAAACCCUUUCUUCAUCUUUUAAUCAACCUUCACGUGCAUUUCCUUUUGUUUUCUUUUUUGUGCAUUGAACUUCUAUUUAUGUAAUAUAAAUAAAUACCGUUGAGACUAUUUUGAGUCAAGCAAUGAAUGAUACAAAUCAUGUUCCGCCUUUGACUAUACUAGUAUCAAACUCUCAUAUCCCAGAUGAGGGAAUAUCGAAAAAGUUUGGAGGUGUUGAUUUCAAAAAAUAGUAAUAAAAGAUGUUGUUCUAUCUUACUACUUUGAAUUUAGCAAAGUUCUUAAAAGAAACCGCAACUAUAAUACAAGAGGGAAAAAAUAAUCGUGAGUCAAUUAUUAAAUUGGAUACAUGGGAACACUCGGAUUUCCUUUGUGAAAACUAAAUUCUAAAUGAAUUGGACAAUACACUUUAUGGAGUGUACAGUUCGAAGGACUUGGUCAAGGAUUUAUGGGAGUUAUUGAAGAAGAAAUACAAAAUUGAAGAUGCCGAGACAAAGAAGUUAAUUGUCAGCAAGUAUUUUGUAAAGGCUCGGAAAACUUUAUAGAAUGAAAUUUAUUUGUUUACACGUUAUAUUUAGAAACGUUGGGGACUAAAAUGAAAUAGAUUUUAAACUCCUAUUUUAUUUAUGUCAAAUAAUUAGAUAUUGAUGGAACGAGAUUUAGUAUAUCAAUAUUGGACUCAUUUUGUAGGUCGUAAUUAAUUAGAAGUCUUCCACUUGAGAAAAACUAAUUUGGAUAUGUUAAGCCUAAGAAAUUGAAGUUUAAAGAAAUUAUCAUUUAUUAGUAUUUUAUUUAAAUUGGAAUUUGCAAGAGAGCCAGCCACAUGCAGUGGUGGAUCCAGCACCUGGCGAGUACAAGCGAUUGCGCUUACUAGAUCCAAAUAAAAAGUUUUUUGUUAACAGUAGAUAAAAAUUUUAGAUUAUAUAUCUGAUAGUUCAUUUUAUUUCUUAACAUGUCUUGUAAUUCAGUUGGUUAGAGCUUCCACAUACAAAUUGAAUGUCCAAGGUUCAAAUACCUUCUAAACCAUAUUAUUGUGCAAGUUUUCUAUUUUUACAAAUUUUUACCAAAACUGAUGCCAAUAAGGAGAAGAUUCGAUCGACCCUGUGACCUUUCUUUAAGAUUUACAAACCUUGACCUUCAUGGCACUUGUUAAGUUGCGGCACGAAAUUUAACGGAGUAAUAUAUAUUCCAUUUUAGUGGUUUUAAUGCAACAACAAGGAUUCGAACCUUUGCUCUUCCUUUGAAUUAUACAAAAUAUGGACACUAUGUCAUUUGGUGAAUAUCAUUAUUAUUUAUAACAAAAUUAUAUAUGUUUAGUUUUAGCAAAAUAAUUAUUAUAUUUAAAUUUUAAUAUUUUAUUACGCUCAAUGAUCGAUGACCACUAGUGCUCACUGAAAAUUCUGGAUUUGCCAUGUGCCACGUAUAGGGAUGUACAGAUUUCGCUAUUAGAUGUUAGUUGUUGGUCAUGAACAGUUGCGGAUGCAGGUGGCCACCCUAGCUGGAUUUGUCGGAACCGUCGAUCGUCGAGCGUCUCUCAGUGGUAAGUCUCAGAUGAUAGAUUUUGCCGCCCUAGCUGGAUUCCUUUGCUGUUGGUGGUUGUGUUGGCUGUUGGAGUAUUGCUGUGUUAGGCCACAUUUUUUAAAAUCAGGCCCAAAUUAAAAAUCCUAAAUCAGCAUUCACCCAUUAUGGACCAUAAGGUCUCUUCCAGUCCACUACAAUUACAACAGAGGGUAGACCGACAGAGGCAAUGGAGUCUCCAGCGACAAGCAACACUUUCCCGAAUCAGUCCUAUUUCUGAUUUCCUUCCCGUUAAUUAAAUCGGUAGCUAGAGAGAUCAGAGAAGAGCAAACCCUUCAUGAGUUCUUCUCCCAAUUCCUUCCCGUUAUUUAAUUUUUCUUACAUUAUUUACAUGUUUUUCCCCCAAUUCCUUUCCCAAAAUCACCAUUCAUUCACCCAUUAUUUACAUGUUUUUUUUCAUGGCAUAUUUAUUAUUUAAUUAUUGGUUUUUUUAGUAGUUUAUUAUGCUCUAUGUUUGAUUUUUAGGGUUUUGAAUUGUUUCGGCUUCGAUUCGAGGCUUAUUGUUUGGGGAUUUUGUUACAAAUUAUUGAAAGUUUUUGUAAUGCCAAAGUGAUCCAGUGCUUAUUAUCAACUCAAAUGACUUUUGAAGCCUUAAAGUGAGUUUCAAUUGAAGAUGAAAGUAGAUCAAAGUUUAAUUAUCUAUUUUAUUUCUACGUUCUUCGCUACUUUUAGAGCAGAAGUUUUGAAAAGUUUGGUUAACUUAGCCUAAUCGAGUGUUGUUUCCGGCAUAAGAGCAUAUCUUAUUACAUGCCACUAGGUCAAACAUUUGAAAAGUACUUGUGAGCUAGUGACAAGGAGAACAUGUUCAGAUGGAAAAUCUUUUUCGUAUGAACUUGAACUUCUUGAAUUUGGCAGUGGAAUGAAUACAUGUUAUUUAUUAUAAUAGUAUAUCUAUUUAAUGUGUCAUUGAGGAUUUUUAUCAAAAUGGGGUGGUCAAUGCUACAUCUAAUUGUACUUGCUUGACUUUCUUUGUAUGUCUGUCAUUUGAUUCAUUUCUUCCGCAUGAGUUUCAAUGGUUGAUCAUAUCUUGACUUUCUAAUUAAAAUUUCACGUGUAAAUAUCUAGCAUCUUAAAAUGUUAAAUGGGCUAGCCUUAAAUGGCUUUUCAACGAUUGACCGCCGAUCGAAUCGAGCUUUUAAUAUCGUUGAUUGUUGACGGUCAACGGUCAAAGUCAACAUCCGCCCUUGCUGAACAUUGAUGUUGGAUUCGCCCCUGGUCAUGAAUCUACUUUUGAUUGUGGUAGGUAUUAAUUAUAUAUUCUAUUCCACUUCAAAUACCACUCAUUUUUUCAUCAGUAGUGUACUUACAAGUUUUUAUUUCCUAGAAUCCAUUUUACUUAAAUGAAGUUUUGCUAGAAACAGAAAAGUCAUAAUUGCAUGCCGUGCUAACCUAUACAUAGUACAUCCAAAUUCCAUGAAGAGUCUAUUCAUAUUUAAUUUCCUUACUUUUACACAACUUUGGACUUCUAACCACACACAAAUUCAUAGAAGUAUAGGUUAUAGUAUUGUAUAUGUAGUCAUGUUAAGUCAAUCAUAUUCACAUAGAAAAGAAAAAGUUAAGCUAGAGAGAAAGAUAAGCAUAGAAAAAUGGGGGGUUUCACGCGUAUUAUUUUGCAUUCUUUUACAACAUUUCAAUAAAAUGAGGUAAGAUACUUUUAUGCAAGUUGUUUUUUUCUAUAUAAUUUUAUAAUUAGAAAUUUAUCCAUGAAUUGCUAAAGGACCUUUGGGUUCUUUAGAAAGAUAUAUGAAAUCUUUCGUGAAUUUAAGGGGUCUAAGAAAAGAGUGAUACGAAGUGUAAAUUUUAUCGUUAUAUAAUUGUCUAUGGAAACUGUACGUAUCUUACUGGGUAUUUUUUAAUACUCACUCUUACAAUAACUUUUCGGGUUAGUUCGAGUCAAUUAGAACUAUGACAAGAUGGUGAUGCAAAUUGCCAAGAGGAUUCGAAAAACGAAAAACAUUAAGUUUUCUAUCUUUCAAUUUAUUAGUUUAGCUUGUUCAAAGACAUGUUAUUUAAUUAGCAAGGAAUUUUUUUUUUGAAAGAUACAAUUUCCAUGUAUUAAUUUAAAUUUGUGAAUUUUUAGUUUUUUUUAAAAAGAAAUUUAUUUUUAUCUUUCCACAUUUAAUACAAAGAAAAGUUAGUUUUUGGUAACACUUCAAGAUUUAUAAAAAUUUGAGGUGUUAUGGUUUGGUAUCAAAGGGUAGGUCUACCUUUCUGUAGACCUUUUUUUUCUUUUUUUUACUAGUUUCAAAUAAAUGAAUUUUAAUAGGAAUUUGUCAAUUAUAAAUAAGUGUUUUAAGAGAUCCAUAGCUCCUAAUUAUUGUUUGAGUUUUAUUGAUUUCCAUAUUCGCAAAAUUGAAAGGUUUUGUAAAAAAUAUUUAAACUAUCUAAGAAGAGCGUGGGAUUUAAGCAACCCUAUUGUGACCCCCCUUUCAUUUGGAAGCUUUUUGAUUGCACGUUAUUCAAAUUUACAAGAUGAAGAACAAUAUUUCAAAUUAUUCCAAAUUUAAGAAAAUUCUAUUUUUAAAAACUUCUAUUUUGAGAAAUUCAUAUUUAAAAAAGUGUAUUUUCAUAUAAGUAUUAGGAGUUUAAGUACAAUGUGAAAAUUUUAAAGUCUUAAACAUGCAAUGAUGUGAAGAAUUUUUGGCACGCGACGCUCACUAUUCGACCAAUCUCCAAUUGAUCCAAGGUAAUAAAUGAAAUGUUAUUUGUUUAUCAUGAUUAUGAGUCGUCCUGCUUUAUGUUAUGAAAUAUUACAAGUAUGUCAAAGCCUAGUAUCUAGAACCUUUCAACUAAUUGGGAUAAUUUCGAGGACGGAAUUCUGUUAAGGAGGGAAGAUUUUAACGUCUCGAAAAUUUUAGAGAAUAAAAUUUAUUUGUUCUAUAUGUUAUACAUUUAUAUUUUGAAAGUUACGGAAUUAAAGUGAAAUAGUUUAAUUUUAAUUUUAUUUUGGCCAAAUAAUUAGAUUUUUAUAGUGGUGAAAUAAGUAUAUCGAUAUUGGAUUUUUUUUUUUUUUUGGUAGCUUGUAAUUAAUUAGACAUCUUUAAUGCAAGAAAAGUUAUUUUGGAUUAGACUAAAUCAAGUUAAGUCAGAUUAAAAGAAUAAAAUGUUAAUAGAGUUGGUGGAGGCUUACGAGAUUAAUUAAGUAAAAUUAUUUUCCUCUUUUAAUUUCUACCGCACGUGAUUUAUAUGAAACCAAUAGUACGGUACAAUUCAAAUUUCUUUUUGAAACCAAGUACAAGUUGGCAAAGUGUCCUAUUUUUAAUGGGAUGAUUGUACCGGGAAAACCAAUUGUAGAAUAUACUACUAAUUCUACCAUUUGAACCAAUUCUUAUUCAAAUUCCUUGUAUUACACAACUUCUCACUUCUUGUUGCAUACAAACAAUUGAGAAUUUCAAUUAUAAAUACUACAAGAAUUUUCAUUAUUUCACCACAGAAAAUAAAGAUAGCCAUGGUAGAGAGAGGAGAGGAAAAAGUAAAGAAAAAUAAGAGAAGAAUUUUUACGUGCAAGAUUUUAUUCUUUUCAACGUUUCAAAAUCAAGGUAAGAUACUUUAUGCAAGUGGUUUGAUUCCGUAUAAUUUUAUAUUCAGUAAUUUAUGCAUGAAUUGCCAAUAAAGUUUUGGAUUCUUUAAAAAGAGGCAUGAAAUCUUUCAGGAAUUUAAGAGAACAUUGGAUGGGCGUGUCGCUUGGUCACCGAUAUUCUAUAAGAGAAGAGUGGUAUGAAUUGUUUAUUUAUUGUUAUAUAAUUGUGUAUGAAAAUUGCGCUUAUCUUACUAGUUUUUUUUUUUUUUUUAAAUACUUACUCUUACAAAUUUUGUAACUUAGUUCAAUUGAUUGGAACUGUGUUGGGAUGCUAACGCAGACUGCCAGUAGAAUUCGAAAAUGAAAAACAUUAAGUUUUUCUAUCUUUAAAUUUAUUAGUUAGUUAAAUACGUUCAAAGUCAUGUUAUUUAAUUAGUUUGUUCAAUAUGUUUUUUUUUUUAAAGAUACAAUUUCUAUAUUUAGUUUAAGUUAUGGAUAUUUCAGCAUUUUAUUUUUAAAGAAAUUUAUUUUUAUCGUCACACAUUUGAUACAAAGAAAAGUGAGUUUUUUGUAACACCUCAAGAUUUAUAAAAAUUUGAGGUGCUACAUUUUUUUAUUACAAAAUAGUAGAUUCCAAGAUUGUGAAAAGUACAAAAACUUCAAAUUCUACUUCAUGAUGCGUACAAAAAAAUGAAAUUUAGUGAAUCCUUUCAAGUUGCGGACAAUUGAGAAACUCCCUCCUUUUGGAGAAUUUUCAAGAUCAAGCAAAAAUCAAAGAGAUGAACUUGAAAGAAUUGAUAAUCCAUUAGAGGAUUGAGGAAGUCAACAAAAAAAAAUCGAAAGAAAAUCUAUUGUUUAACUUGGAUCCAACUUUAUUGAAACUAGUUCGAAGGUUGACAAAAAGAAGAGUAAGAUCUCCGAUGAUGCACAAAAAAUAGAUAACUCCGAGAAUGCUAAAAAAUUUAAAGGCAGUUGUUACAAUUGUUAAAAAAUUGAACAUUGUUAAAACAAGUGUCUAAAGCUAAAGAAGACUGCACAAGCAAAUGAGAUUGAAAGAGACGCCCAAUUUGAAGAGGUUCACGAGAUGAGUCUAUCUGCGGUUGUUUCUAAAUGCAACAUGAUUAGUAAUCCACGGGAUUAGUGGGUCGACACUUGUGCAACCCCUAUAUUUGUGUAGAUAAGACCAUGUUCUCAAACUAUUAUGAAGCAAGAGGAGAACAAUUGUUCAUAAGAAAUGUUGCAAGUUUGAAGGUUGAAGGACUUCGAAAGAUCACACUGAAAAUGACAAAUGACUUCUGAGAAAGAAUUAGUACUCAAUAAUGUCCUCAAUGAGCUGAACAUUCGCAAGAACCUAGUUUCAGGGUCUCUACUUAACAAGAAAGAUUUUAAACUUGUUUUUGUAUCAGACAAGUUUGUACAUACCAAAAUUGAUAUGUAUGUUGGUAAUGUUCAUCUUCGUGAAGGAAUGUUCAAAAUGAACGUCCUAAAAGUUUUACCAAAAAUCAUUAUGAAUAAAGAUUCUAAUGCUAUUUAUAUACUUGAGUUGCCUUGUUUAUGGUAUAGUAGAUUAAGACACGUUAAUCAAUCACAAAUCUUUGCACAAACUUAUGAAUCAAAGUUUAAUUAUG